AUUUGCAUAAUAUAAAUAUUAUAUUUGACUUCCAAUCAGAAAAUCUAAAUCUUAGUGUAAAUA
rnacentral:tRNA from 1 species